UGGGGAAUUUUGCGCAAUGGGGGAAACCCUGACGCAGCAACGCCGCGUGCGGGACGAAGGCCCUCGGGUUGUAAACCGCUUUCAGCAGGGAAGAUCCAAGACGGUACCUGCAGAAGAAGCUCCGGCUAACUACGUGCCAGCAGCCGCGGUAAUACGUAGGGGGCGAGCGUUAUCCGGAUUCAUUGGGCGUAAAGCGCGCGUAGGCGGCCGCCUAAGCGGGACCUCUAACCCCGGGGCUCAACCCCGGGCCGGGUCCCGGACUGGGCGGCUCGAGUGCGGUAGAGGAGAGCGGAAUUCCCGGUG
rnacentral:rRNA from 1 species